GAGAGAGACGGAAAAAUGUGAGAGAUACAUAAAAAUUUGAAGAGCCUUCGGCUCUGUUGUGGUCAACAAUUUUGAACUGCUUUGUGUUUGACGAAGUUCAAUAUUACAAUAUACGAAGUUGCAACGAAUGUGACUGUCAUAUUCCCCCUCCUCCUCUUUAUCGAAUCUCUUUCUGUGGUCUGAAUAUGUGUAAGAAAGAUCAAAUAGACAAUCACUUCUUUAGUUGGUGUUGAAUAGUGCAAGGGAGUAGUGCACGUGCUCGUGGGAAUAGUGCUUGGUAUAAAGUUGUUUUUUUCUCUGGUGUCUUUUUUUUUUUUUUGGGUGCUCGUGCGUACAUUUUUGUCGGUGUUUGGCAUUUUGUAGUUUUUUUCACAAUGGCUGAGGAAUAUAAUUUAAAAUCACUCGGUAAGGCGUUAAAACAUAAAAUUUAUAUUAAACAUAUAUCUUUCUUUACCAGCCCUCCCUUAAAUAUACAUACAAUUUGUAAUGGAAAUACAUAUUUUAGAAAUAUGCGGUAUUAAUAAAUAAAUAAAAAAUAAACUUGUAAAAAUUA